GGUGAGAUGGCCGAGUGGUCUAAGGCGCCAGAUUUAGGCUCUGGUCCUCCGGGGCGUGGGUUCGAACCCCACUCUCAUCA
rnacentral:tRNA from 1 species